rnacentral:rRNA from 1 species
AUGGAGGUUGCCCACCGGAACCGGGAGCCCUUCAGCGUCAUGUCCGGCCACGGCCGGAAGCGCCCGCUGGAGACCCUUCGCCAGCGGUUCCAGGCAGAGCUCGUCGCGGUCCGUCGCCUCCUAGCCGAGGCGGCCGCCGUGCUUCCCGCCUCGUCCCCGUCGGCUCCCCGCGUGCGCGUCCGUCCAGCCGAGGAGCCGCCAGCCAAGAAGAGGAAGGCGUCCCAUGCCGUUCCCGUGAAGAAGAUGACGUCCAAGGAGCGGAACCAACUCUACGCGGACCUCACCAAGCUAGCCAAGCUCUCUGAAUCUCAUGUGCUCCCCGCUCAUAUCCUGGAGCUGUUGAAGAAGCAGAGCCGCCGCGGCAUCUGCGACGAUUACAUCGAGAUCGAGAUGCACGCCGUCCAAGACGCGGCCCUUGUGGAGAUGCAGAAGCAGCUGGACAAAUUCGUUCGAGAGAGGGCGAAUCCGUUGACGCAUCAGCACAAGAACGUGAUGGCCGAGGAGGAGGACGAAGACGUUGACAUCGUCGGCGGCGUCUCCCCUUUGCCGGUCAGGCCGACACCAGUGCAGCUCGUCGAAGAGGACAUCUGCGGCGACGCCUCACCGCUGAAGAAUCUUGGCCAAGAUGCAACCAUCAGCGGCAGCAGCUGCUCGGUUUCUGAUUCUUCUCACCAGACUAGCGUCGACAGUCCAGCUCCGGCAGAGCCCGCCGCCAACACUACGCCUGCAACACGCGACCUCAUUGCCCGUGCCAACGAGAUUCUCGAAAGGCGGCGAAAGCAGGAGACGUCCCGGGCGAGGGAGAAGGCCCGUCAGGAAGUGCUCAAGACGGAGAGGACGGCAAUGUUCAACGAGACUCUAGACGAGGACGUGAAGGCCCUCGGCAUUGAUCAGUACAACACGGCGAGGCCGAACAACUUGUUACGACUGAUGGGACUUUUCCGCAAGGACAAGGUUGACGAAGACGACGACGACGACGACGACGACCUGAAGCAGCAGCAGCAGCAGCAUCAAAACUUCCAAGAAGAUUUAGAGGAAGGGGAGAUUCGGCUGUGA